rnacentral:rRNA from 2 species
UACAGAGGUCUCAAGCGUUGUUCGGAAUUACUGGGCGUAAAGGGUGCGUAGGCUGCGCGGCAAGUCAGAUGUGGAAUCCAUGGGCUCAACCCGUGAAUUGCAUCCGAUACUUCCGUGCUCGAGAACUGGAGAGGGGUUUGGAAUUCUCGGUGUAGCAGUGAAAUGCGUAGAUAUCGAGAGGAACACCAACGGCGAAGGCAAAACCCUGGACAGUCUCUGACGCUGAUGCACGAAGGCCAAGGGAGCAAACGGG